rnacentral:lncRNA from 1 species
CUGUGACGAACAUCACCAUGUUUGUGUUGAAGCCGGGGUGCGGGCGUAUCCUUCGAUCAUCUUUUACCGUGGGGCAACGAAUGGUCGUAGUCAGGUAACCGUAGCAUUGAGUUUGCCACUUUCUUGGAACUUUUGUGACUUCUGAAGCCCCGUUUACACUACGCUCAAUGUUUGGUACGGCACGGAUAAAAUUGGUACCCGUACCACUUUUUUGGUUCUUGGACUACCUAUUUAGAUAGUCCAAGAACCAAAAAAGUGGUACGGUACCAAAAGUCAAGCGUAGUGUAAACGGGGUUUGAGAAGCUUUUUGCCUUCAAUUGAAAUUUAUUAAUACGUGGCAUCGCACAGCAUAGAAACAUGUUUCAUGUACUAUUUAAAACAUGGGCAGCAAUGUCUUAUCAGAUAUAUAGAUAGGAGACGAAGUCGAGUUUCUUUAGGUCUGAUAAAACACGUACUGCGAAUGUUUUAAAUUGCUUCAAAAACGAUCGAUUUAGUAAGUUCAUUGGCGAAGUAAUUUUAAAAAAAUACGUUGUAUAAGUCGAGAAAAUCAAAAUUAAAGUUUAUGUAAAUUAAGGGAAAUCUCUAUCACAUAUAAAGAUGCGACACGCUUGUAUUUUUCCUUUGUGUUUUCCUUAUGAAUUAUUAAUGAGUUUUUAAUUCAUUUUAAGAUGUAUUCAACAUUUUCUUUUUCUAGCCGAGUCGUGGUGAUCACGCGUUCAGAUCUCAAGAUAUUGAUGACAUGUAUGACGCCACGAUGAGACUACUGCAAGAUUUGGAAGAAAGGAAAGAUAAACAAAAGACGAAAAAAGCCAAGAGUAGAAAGGUAAGAGGUUUUGAACUUCAAACUACCAUAAGUUCUGAACUGGCUUCUCUAGAGAUCCAGUCAAGGAAUCAAAUUACGCUGAGAACACCUGUUUGGUAGAGUCAAACUGGAAGCACUCUUCUGACGUGUAACUGAGGUGAAAUUAUAAUCAGACAACCGCAUAUUGCAAGCAUUAAACUAGUGUUGUUUUAGUCAACUAAAACUAAAACCCUAUUUUAGUCGUGCCAAAAUAAUUUAGUCAACUGUAAAUAAAGUUGUCUUAGUUUGUAUAGUCCUGGCAGGCUGCCAGUGCAUUAUUCACUUUAAUCACUUGAACAGGUCAAGUUGAAAGCAAUUUUGAAUUUGAAAUAAACAAUUGCUGAUUUUGAAUAUAUAAUAUUUGGUCUUUCCUGGCCUAGUAGUGGCCUUUAUGCUAAUAUUUUCGUACAUAUUUGAAUCACUGAAAACUAAAACUAAAUGCUUUCUUAGCUAGGACUAAACCAGAAGUAAAAUGAAAUUCCUGUUUCGAACUCGAACUAAACUAAAACUAAAAUAAAAUUUCUGUUUCAAACUAGAACUAAACGAAAACUAAACAUAAAUUCCUGCAUUAAACUAAAACUGAACUAAAACUAAAUUGAAAACACCAUACUAAAACAACACCAAAUUAAACCCCCAAUCACAGAGGCAAAACUUUAAUUAAAGAUCCUUCUAAACUAAGACGAUCCCUAAAAAUGUACUAAUAUUUUGUACAAGGAAAACAAACAUCAGACCUGACCGCGUAGCUCAGUUGACAGAGCAUUGGGCUAGUAUUCCAACGUUCGAUUCCCACCGUGGCCAGGCAUAUUUUUCAAGCCUGCCCGGUGUGGGUAUACACUCAGAGUAACAUCACAAGCAUCUUAUUCACCUGAGUACAUUACACCAACAGAAGAAAAUAUCAUGAAAACAAACAACUUUCUAACUAUGCAGUUGCUGCAAAAUAUCACAAACAACACAAAAUAACUGUAAACGUUUGUGUUGAUUACUUUUCAGAAAACCCCUGCGCAUGACGAGUUUUAAAACACACGCAAAGAAAGGUAGCAGCUAUCGUCUGUCCUCUCAAGCAGUCCUAGUGAGGUGAUGCGAAUUAGCCCGCUGUGGACUGGGACACAGGCUAAUUCGACGCAGACCAUUGCUAAACGCCCGCAAUGAAAAAUAAGAGACGUCAACCGCCGUGUACUUCGCAAGUUUUAAAUAAAUGAAUAUGAAUAUAGUCGGUUAGAUAGUUUUGGUUUUAAAAUAUUAAUGUGCGCAUAGAAGGUAUUAUUAGGGAAACUAGAUCUUACCGAUUAUUCUUUUUUACCCAAUGGCCUCGUUUCCAUGUUAACUUAUUUUAGCAUGUCAGGGGCAGAUAAAGAUUAUAUUCCCAUGUGUUCCUGGACGAAUUUGUUUCUUGCUGUUCUUAGGCUCCAUAACAAUGUAGUUUUCAACCCUACUAAGCGCAAAACACGAGUACGUAUACGACACGAAAACGAGGCCAUUGGGUGAAAAGUGAAUAAACAGUAAGGUUUAUUAAGUCUACAAGUUAAUGCUCACUCGGGCAGAUAAUUCUAAUUCUUAAGCCCCGGUUAAACGAGCAUGAGAGUUUCAAAAUAAAGGUUUG